rnacentral:rRNA from 1 species
GACGAACGCUGGCGGCGUGCUUAACACAUGCCAGUCGAACGGUGAAGGGGUCUGCUUUUGUGGGCCCUGGAUGAGUGGCGAACGGGUGAGUAACACGUGAGUAACCUGCCCCCUUCUUCUGGAUAACCGCAUGAAAGUGUGGCUAAUACGGGAUAUUCUGGGUCUGUCGCAUGAUGGGUCUGGGAAAGAUUGCGCCUUUGGGUGUUUUUGGUGGGGGAUGGGCUCGCGGCCUAUCAGCUUGUUGGUGGGGUGAUGGCCUACCAAGGCGGUGACGGGUAGCCGGCCUGAGAGGGUGGACGGUCACACUGGGACUGAGACACGGCCCAGACUCCUACGGGAGGCAGCAGUGGGGAAGAUUGCACAAUGGGCGCAAGCCUGAUGCAGCGACGCCGCGUGAGGGAUGGAGGCCUUCGGGGUGUAAACCUCUUUCGCCAGUGAAGCAGGCCUGCUCCUUGUGGGUGGGUUGACGGUAGCUGGAGAAGAAGCGCCGGCUAACUACGUG